GCCGAAAUAACUCAGUUGGGAGAGCAUUAAACUAUAGAUCGAAAGUCCCUGGUUUGAUCCCGGGUUUCGACA
rnacentral:tRNA from 1 species